GUCAAGAUCCCCUGCUGACAUCUCCCUUUACUAUUGCCAACCAAUGACGUCCCAGGUGUGCUCGAUGGGAGACAAGUCCAGAGAUGCGGCAGGCCAUUGUAGCACGUUUUGGCCAUGCAGGCUGCUCACAGUAGCACAAGCAACAGGCAGCUUGGCAUUGUCCUGUUGAAAAUUGGCUCCUUGCACUCAUUGCAGAAGAGGCCG